rnacentral:misc_RNA from 1 species
UUUAUAUUUUUAUUUUAUAAGUUUUUUUUUUUGUUUGCGAUUUAGAAGUCUCGAGCUUAGAUUUAAGUUUCAGCGGGCAUUGCGCCCGAAGAAGGAAGAGGCUAUAAGCCGAAGAGGCCCGGCAAACUGCCACUCAAGAGGGCAACUACUAAUGGCUCCCCAUCCUCUGGGUCAUCCAGAGCAUGGGAAGUCAUUAUUGUUAC